GCGCAUAUGAUGUGAAGUUUACAUUGACUGACUAUGUGAUGUAUACAAAGGAACCACUGAUGCCA